UGCAGUCCGGCAGUAAGGGGGCGGGUGCUAAGGUCCGUCCCCGAGAGGAGAAGAAUCCAGACCGCCGUCUAAGGUCCCGGAGUUCUGCCUGAGUUAGUCUAACGAAGUCUGGUCCCUAUGACAGCUAGGAUGUUGGCUUGGAAGCAGCCAUUCAUUCAAAGAGUGCGUAACAGCUCACUAGUCGAGGGUCCGGGCAUGGAUAAUAAUCGGGUAUAAGGCAGACACCGAAGGCGCGGGAUAGCAAUUUUAAAAGUAUCGGUAGGGGAGCAUACUCACAGCGUCGAAUGGUGUACGUAAGUUAUCCUGGAGCGGUGAGUAAAGCAAAUGUAGGAAUAAGUAACGAUAAGGAGGGUUAGAUUCCCUCCCGCUGUAAGACCAAGGUUUCCCGGGCAAUGCCAAUCAGCCCGGGGUCAGUCGGGUCCUAAGUCUAAGCCGAACGGCGAUGGCGAUGGCAGAGACGGUUAAUAUUCCGUCACUGCCGCAUGGGGCGACGUGGAGACGGAGCAGUGAAACCACCGCGGGGCGACGGAAGUCCCCGUUGAAGAGUGUAGG
rnacentral:rRNA from 1 species